CCUACGGGUGGCAGCAGUGGGGAAUAUUGCGCAAUGGGCGAAAGCCUGACGCAGCGACGCCGCGUGAGGGAUGAAGGUCUUCGGAUCGUAAACCUCUGUCAGCAGGGAAGAACGGUCACUGUGCUAAUCAGCAGUGAAUUGACGGUACCUGCAAAGGAAGCACCGGCUAACUCCGUGCCAGCAGCCGCGGUAAUACGGAGGGUGCGAGCGUUAAUCGGAAUUACUGGGCGUAAAGCGCUCGUAGGCGGUAUGUCAAGUCAAGGGUGAAAUCCCCGCGCUCAACGUGGGAACUGCCUUGGAAACUGGCAAACUGGAGUGUGUGAGAGGAUAGUGGAAUUCCAGGUGUAGGGGUGAAAUGCGUAGAUAUGUGGAGGAACAUCAGUGGCGAAGGCGACUAUCUGGCACAUAACUGACGCUGAGGAGCGAAAGCGUGGGUAGCAAACAGGAUUAGAUACCCGAGUAGUC
rnacentral:rRNA from 1 species